rnacentral:tRNA from 1 species
GGCGCGGUGGCGGAGAGGCUACGCAGCGGCCUGCAAAGCNGUGUACACCGGUUCAAAUCCGGUCCGCGCCUCCA